rnacentral:rRNA from 1 species
CUUGAGAGUCCUGAAGGAACGUUGAAGACGACGACGUUGAUAGGCCGGGUGUGUAAGCGCAGCGAUGCGUUGAGCUAACCGGUACUAAUGAACCGUGAGGCUUAACCUUACAACGCCGAAG